UGUUUGGAUGGGAAAGUUCAUUUAUGAACUCUCUAUUCGGUUCCAACCAGAAAGUGUAUGACACUAAUGGGGUGAUAGCUCAAGCCAGGGAAUCAAGGUCUCAUCAAGGUCCGAACUCAAAUGAGAGACUGAACCACAUGAUUGAGAAUCAUGUAUAAUGGUGACGUCGUUAUUCUCAAGGUUGCUUCUAUGGAUAACAUAUAGAUAUCCAUUGUCUAGGCCUACUACUCAGCCAUUUAUGAAAUGACUAUAGAAGAGGUAUCAUCACUGAUGAACAAGCUGAUUGGCUCUAGUGCAAGUGGGAGAUUGUUGGAAUGUGCCCUAAAACCAAUCAUAUGAUGAUACUUUACGGACAUUUCACAUGUUAAACUAAUCUAGUUUAAUAUCAAGGGCAUAGAUUAUUGUUUUAAGCCGUCUCAUAUAAAUGUUAUAUGCUUAAAUGAUAAGUCCAAGGAAUAUGUGAUUGGGAGAAUACGAUCUAAAGAAGUUAGAUUCAUGAGACCAUUCUUUCGUAGACACAUCUUAAACGUUCCUGAUUAUAGGAUUGUCAAUUGGGCAUUGACAGUCUGUUAAGAUCAGUACGUUCUAUGUCUUCUCUCAGGGAGAGUGACUAGUCUCGAGUCAUUGGUGUGUGUGACAUCAAGACAAGUACGUAGGUGCUCAAUAGAGAAUGAGUUCACUCAACACGAUCAACGAAGAGUUCUCAUAUUCAUGUCACAUGAGAACUCAUGGUUGGGAUAAUGCCAAGUAGUCCUUUGACCUAAGGCAUCACAGCUGUCUUGUGGUUAAGUCCUUGAUCUUUGAUUAUGUCAAAGUCACCCCAUCCGCGGGUGUCCACAGCAUCGUUGGGGUUAAGCUACUUAGCCAUGGAGGCAAGUGAAUGCGCAACAAGGGAUCUCUAACCUUCAAACUGUUUGAGGGAGAAUACUCUAUGAUAUGAUUAAGAAUCUUUGGCCAAAGUAUGAAUGAGAUUUAGGA
rnacentral:lncRNA from 1 species